CGGGCUGCCCUGGUCGGUCCUGCCCACUCCCCGCCCACUCCCCGCCCACACCGGAGACGCCGCCUGCCAGGGCUCGGGGCCCGCCCUUGGCCGUCCUGCAGCCCUGGCGCCCAUUUCCCGGAGUGCUGGACCCCAGACCUUCCCGGCGGCUACACUCUGGAUAACAGCCAGGAGAGCUCCUCUCCAAAAGGAAGAGAUGGUGCUCCUUACAGCCCAGAAGAGGGCUGUGUUGGGACAUUGACCUAUGACCUGUAGUUGUCCCUUACAGACUGACACCAGAAGGACUGACCUGUGGAGGGAAUUUCUAGCUUGUCUUGGAGGUGCUUACGAAGGCUGCCACAUGUCUCUUCAAGUAUCUCAGUCAGUCUAAGGUAACUGCGUUUCUCAGACACUUCGAAGUGCUGUUUGACUGUGAGGUGACUCCUGGCAAAGCUUUGCCCAUAAACCACACACUUGACUCAAAGCGCUUUUCAGACCCACUCACUCUUCGAGGAACCCAAAUUAAGGAAGCCAGUUUUCCAAAGCUGGGACCUUCUCCACAGGAGAGCCUCCAUCGCGUACCCCAGCUGGUUCCACAAGUGACACAUGGGAACACAUCUUGCCAGCAUCUAGGGUGAUCACAGGGAUCGGGACCUGGAAGGAUCUAAGAGAUACCCACCACCAGCGCGGGCCCCAGUGACUGAAGAGUCCAGCACUUGGUUGACUUAUCCCUGAAGCACACUGAGAAAGGAACAGUCAAGACAGAAGGCAGGCAGCAUGGGCUCCAUCCCAACUAAGUCAGUGCUACUGAGCAGCUCUUGGUCAAAUUCCAGAACACCUUGAGACCAAGGAAUGCUGCAGUUCUUCCCAAGCUGUAGCCACUGACGCUCCCAGGUGAGGGCAGCCUCUAGUCUUAGGUGGGUCUUGAAUCACCCAGAAAGCAGGGAGGGACCAUAUAAGCUCUGGCUUUUCUUUUGCCUUUGUGGAUCUCUGCCCACACCCUACCCAUACUGUGCACUUGACCGUGAGAUCUGCUCCACCCCCAUCUCUCCUUUCUUCUGGCAUCUUCUCAGUCAUUAGGUUCAUGGUUCAGAAAAGCCCUUCUGGGAGUUCUGUAAUCUGACUUCUGUGGACAUAGUCAUGUGUUCUUCAGUCCCUGACGAAGCAGCCUUUGGUGGCUUUCCCCUCCCCUCCACAUUCCCCUUUCUUCACAGUUCACUCUGAUUUUCACUACAAAGCAUGUAAUAAUUCGGUCAUCAGAUGACCUGCCCAAUUUAUUCCUCAGUCAUUGUUAGCUCAAAAGAAACGUUCCUCCUGGUCUGAAGACCUCACUCAGGCCAGCUGUGGUGACCCAUGCUUGGUAAUCUCAGCACUGGGGAGGUAGAGGCAGGAGGAUUAGAGAUUCAAGAUCAUUCAUGGCUACACAGGACGUUUGAGGCCAGUCUAUGCUGUAAGAGAUUCUGUCUCAAAAAAACAAAAACAAAAACAAAACAAAACAAAAAACCUUGAUUGGGCAAGAGGAUGCCUCAUGUCUGGGAGCAUCACCAGCACUCUGGAACCCUGGCCAUGCCAAAAGCUCCCGCCUCUACAAACACAAAGCCACUGCCCUCUGAUUUUGAGGACAUUCAGGCUCUAAAAUGCCCAUCCUUUUUGGAAUGGAGAGGCCAAAUCCCAGUGUAAGGUCAUAUGGUCAUAAGGUCAUAUGAGUUCCCUUUUUGGGAAUGAUUGCAUGCUUUAGUCCCCUUUACCCUCUCCUUUUAGGUCACAAAAAUGAGUAGACUCAGCACAAUGGGCACCCCCCCUCUACCCAAUGUCUUCCCCUUGGGUUGUCCAGCCCCACUCUGGAAAGGAAGCAACACCCUGUUUUCCUAAUUUUCUUUUGUUCUCACGUGCUGAUGUCUGGCCCGUGUCCUCUUGGAUCUGUUAAUAUUUGAUUUCUGAACUGGGUAACGCUGGUCAGGUUGAAUAAACAUUCUUCCCAUGAAACAGAGAUUAAAACACAUGAUUAUGA